CCCUUAGAUGUUCUGGGCUGCACGCGCGCUACACUGAUGCGCUCAACGAGUUUACGACCUUGCCCGGAAGGGUUGGGUAAUCUUUUUAAAACGCAUCGUGAUGGGGAUAGAUUAUUGCAAUUAUUAAUCUUUAACGAGGAAUUCCUAGUAAGCGCGAGUCAUCAGCUCGUGCUGAUUGCGUCCCUGCCCUUUGUACACACCGCCCGUCGCUCCUACCGAUUGAAUGAUCCGGUGAAUAAUUCGGACUGCAGCAGUGUUCAGUUCCUGAACGUUGCAGCGGAAAGUUUAGUGAACCUUAUCACUUAGAGGAAGGAGAAGUCGUAACA
rnacentral:rRNA from 1 species